CGGGGGGAGCAAGCGUUGUUCGGAUUUACUGGGCGUAAAGGGCGCGUAGGCGGCCACCGCAAGUCAAUUGUGAAAUCUCCGGGCUUAACUCGGAAAGGUCAACUGAUACUGCGGGGCUAGAGUGCAGAAGGGGCAACUGGAAUUCUCGGUGUAGCGGUGAAAUGCGUAGAUAUCGAGAGGAACACCUGCGGCGAAGGCGGGUUGCUGGGCUGACACUGACGCUGAGGCGCGAAAGCUAGGGGAGCGAACGGGAUUAGAUACCCCGGUAGUCCUAGCCUUAAACGAUGAAUGCUUGGUGUCUGGGUUAUAAAGUCCCGGUGCCGUCGCUAACGCUUUAAGCAUUCCGCCUGGGAGUACGGUCGCAAGACUG
rnacentral:rRNA from 1 species